rnacentral:rRNA from 1 species
GAGUAACGCGUGGGAAUCUGCCCAGUUCUCUGGAAUAACUGAUGGAAACGUCAGCUAAUACCGGAUACGCCCUUUUGGGGAAAGAUUUAUCGGGAUUGGAUGGGCCCGCGUAAGAUUAGCUAGUUGGUGGGGUAAUGGCCUACCAAGGCGACGAUCUUUAGCUGGUCUGAGAGGAUGAUCAGCCACACUGGGACUGAGACACGGCCCAGACUCCUACGGGAGGCAGCAGUGGGGAAUAUUGGACAAUGGGGGCAACCCUGAUCCAGCCAUGCCGCGUGAGUGAUGAAGGCCUUAGGGUUGUAAAGCUCUUUCACCGGUGAAGAUAAUGACGGUAACCGGAGAAGAAGCCCCGGCUAACUUCGUGCCAGCAGCCGCGGUAAUACGAAGGGGGCUAGCGUUGUUCGGAAUUACUGGGCGUAAAGCGCACGUAGGCGGAUAUUUAAGUCAGGGGUGAAAUCCCGGAGCUCAACUCCGGAACUGCCUUUGAUACUGGAUAUCUAGAGACCGAGAGAGGUAAGUGGAACUCCUAGUGUAGAGGUGAAAUUCGUAGAUAUUAGGAAGAACACCAGUGGCGAAGGCGGCUCACUGGCUCGGAACUGACGCUGAGGUGCGAAAGCGUGGGGAGCAAAC